rnacentral:rRNA from 1 species
CAGCCGCCGCGGGAAUACGGAGGGGGCUAGCGUUGUUCGGAAUUACUGGGCGUAAAGCGCACGUAGGCGGCUUUACAAGUCAGAGGUGAAAGCCUGGUGCUCAACACCAGAAUUGCCUUUGAGACUGUAUCGCUUGAACGUCGGAGAGGUGAGUGGAAUUCCGAGUGCAGAGGUGAAAUUCGUAGAUAUUCGGAAGAACACCAGUGGCGAAGGCGGCUCACUGGACGACUGUUGACGCUGAGGUGCGAAAGCGUGGGGAGCAAACAGGAUUAGAUACCCCCGUAGUGCCUGUCUCUUAUAA